CAAGGAGUAGUUUAUAUAAAAUGUUAAUUUUGGGGAUUAAUGAAGAAGAAGUACUUUCUCUUUGA
rnacentral:tRNA from 1 species